rnacentral:lncRNA from 1 species
AUGUCAGUCUCAGGAGUUUGGAGGUUCUGCUCGUGAGCAUGCCAGGACAAAGAGCAUUCACUGUAAGCAGGGACCAGCAUCAUUUACCCUGACUGAGCAGAGAUCAAAGUGCUGCCUGCCCACCCACUAGCAAAGCAGAGAGGUACAGUAGGACCCAAAAAUGUUUAAAAGAAGAAAACUGCCCUUGACAAGCCAACCAACAUUGGAUGUUUCAUGCAAGAGUUAUUUGAAAGGGAAACUUACAGACGUGAAGCACACGAGGUCUUCAAAAGGGUUCUUGAGAUUUUUUGAUGAACCAGAUCUUUAUCAUUUGCCCUGA